GGCACUGGCCGCGGCUCUUCCCUGCCGCCCGCCGGACAGAACCGACUCCCCCCCCCGCCCCGCAAGCCAGCGCCGCCGAGAACUUCUGCUCCCCGCCCCUGGGUCCCGUUCUUCGCCACCCUCCCGGGGCGGGGAGCCCCCAGCUGCCCCUGCCCACCUCGAAGACACUUGCACUCAGUCCUGCUUGUCGCCCAGCAAGCGCGGGCGCCCCGGCUGCAGGCACGCCCUGGGUCCGGCUCUUCCUCGCCAGUCCCCCAGAGAAGUCUUGGAAACAUGCUCGGAGGAGUUUUCAGUUUUCACGAAUAUGUAAAGAAACUGCAACGGAAGCAGUGUGAUCUAAUGGACAGGGCACUGGACUCAGGAGAUAAGGGUGCUAGUCCUGGGUUUGCCACGGACCUGCUGCAUGAGAGUAGGCAAGUCACAUCAGCUGUCUGUGCUUCCGUUUCCCCUCCCACCUUUUGUCUAUCUUGUCUGUUUAAAUUGUAUGCUCUUCAGGGUAGAGACUAUCUCUUACUACGUGUUUUGUACAGUGCCUAGGAUAAUGGGACGAUCUUGCCUGAGGCCUGUAAAUGUUCCUGUAACACACAUUACUAGUAAUUAAUCAUUGAUUCCAUCUGGUUCUAGAAUUUUCUCAUUCUUCAGUUGUUCUGUGUUUUUCAUCACCCAGUGUUAGCCUGAUUCCUUUAGUAUUUCUUAUUUGGUUAUUUCUUAAAAUGUAUGUUCACUUCUGGCACCUGUCUCCAUCUUUCUUUGUGGACACAGAGAUGGAAGUGGAUUUUUAGCAAAGAAUAACUUUUCUGUCAAUACAUAACUCUUAUCUCUGACAGUUUCCAGGGGCCUCUUGUUCACUGUAC